rnacentral:rRNA from 1 species
CCAGACUCCUACGGGAGGCAGCAGUCGGGAAUAUUGCACAAUGGCGGAAACUCUGAUGCAGUGACGCCGCGUGCAGGAAGAAGGUUUUCGGAUUGUAAACUGCUUUCGACAGGGAAGAAACAAGACAGUACCUGUAGAAUAAGCUCCGGCUAACUACGUGCCAGCAGCCGCGGUAAUACGUAGGUGGCAAGCGUUAUCCGGAUUUACUGGGUGUAAAGGGCGUGUAGGCGGGACUGCAAGUCAGAUGUGAAAACCAUGGGCUCAACCCAUGGCCUGCAUUUGAAACUGUAGUUCUUGAGUGUUGGAGAGGCAGGCGGAAUUCCGUGUGUAGCGGUGAAAUGCGUAGAUAUACGGAGGAACACCAGUGGCGAAGGCGGCCUGCUGGACAAUAACUGACGCUGAGGCGCGAAAGCGUGGGGAGCAAACAGGAUUAGAUACCCCUGUA